GUCAGCUAUCCUCUUCACAAAAUAUCUGGAGAUGGCCUGAGAAAAACUCUGAUGACUGCAUGUAAAAAAAACACCCUGUUUUUUUAUGAAGGAAGGGAAAUCAGAGGCUGUUGUUCAAGACCCACCAUGGAGUUUAAGGCUGCAUCAUCCUUGAUCCUCCAAAAGAUGUCUAACACAAUGCCAACCUGGGAUUCAGGAAAGCCUUGUUGGCUCUUCACUCAGCAUUUGCAAACCCUGGCACUUGCAUUCCUGGUACCAAUUUGGUGUAACUCUAUUGGAUCAUGAGGGACAAGGGAGUUACCCAUCAAGAUGUCUCACCAUGUUUGCUGUUGUGACCUUGAUUCCUUCUCU